rnacentral:lncRNA from 1 species
UAAUAAUUUUAAGUUAUUAAUGUUUUUUUUCUUCAGAUCGCAAAUCAUGGAGCAUUGCAAGAGGAAAUUUUUCAUAUUCAGACAAACCCAAGUUCAGUCCAGGUGGCAUUCAUGGCUCAUCAACAGCAAGUCAACCUGAAGACUUUCUAGACACUAGUAGAAACUCAGAUAAUUCAGCCACAGAUGAAUUUGAUAUGGUACAGAGGAAAAACCUCUUGAACAGCAAACUUAGGAUGGCUGGGGCUCCGCAAAUUGCAACCAGAGAAAUGUCGGCAAGAACACGGCAUGCAAAGAAGAUGCAUGAUGCUCACCUCAGGUCAAUGGGUUUAGCUCAGUACACCCCUGGAAAUGGAUCGUAUAUCUCUCCAGGCGAAGAACAAGACAGCAACAACUGGAAACAAAGUGAUGAUGAUGAUGAUUUCUUCUCAUAGACUUUGCUUGGUACCUGACGCCAUCACAUUUAUAGCAAUAUGUAAAAUAGUAAAAGUGUACAUAUUAUAUGUGUGUGAUUAGCAAAGGUGUGAUAGACGCAAGUGUCUGACUCGAGUUUUUUUUUUUUUUUCUCAGUUUUUAAAAUAUACAAUGACAGACAUAGUUGUUGACUUGGUCAGCUGCUAUGCAACAAAUUUGUAGGUGUAGAUAGUUCAGUAUUUCAUGGGACAACUUUUGUCACAUGUACAGUUUCUCUUCCCAAAAUUUGAUUGCUGGGAGAAAGUGUCAGGUUUUGGGAUCGAUUAGACUUCAAGCAGUCUCUUUCGUUUUCUAGCAUGUGACAAGUUUCUAGCAUGUCGGUGAGUUUCUAGCAUGCAGUGAGGGGCAAACUCCUUGUUUCUUUCCCUAAUUUGCAUAAUCUUAACUCAAUCCUGUGUGUGGAGGAACAAAUAAAUGCCAGAGGUGUCUAAAUAUCUUCUGACUCCAGUUUCCCAUUCAGUCCCUUGUGGAUUAAGGAAUGAACAUUGCUGAAUUGUGAAAUUUCAAAAGUUGUUGUCACCAUUUUCCAGGAAUCUGUGUGAGCCAAACUGGUUUUGAGCUCUGAAGAAACUGUGUGCAUCAACCAUAUGCAUCAAUAUACUGAUCAAUUUAAUUUUGUACAAGUAUUAAAACAAAUUUGGAGUACCUUGUUGGCUAUUCAUUCAUCUGUAGGAAAAAAGGAUGGAGGCUGUACAUUUUUACACAAUACCAUGUAAACUUAACACAGCCAAUUAAUGCCAUUAAGUGUACUAGAUUUGAUGUUUGAACUUUUCUGUAGUUUGAUGAGCGUUGUGAAGGCUUUUGUGCGCGAAGAAUCAUCGGUAAAUGUACCAGUCGCUAUCUUUUUUUCCACAGAGGAUGUUGGAUUGAUUUCUUUGAAAUUACCUUGGCCUAAAAGGUAGGUUAAAUGAAGGCUUUCCUCACAGGGUAUCCCAAAGGAAAAAUAGACAACUAUCUCCUAUAAGUCUUGACUAGCCUCCGUCAUAGACGCUUCCUACCGAGGGUUAAAAUUUCCGUCGGCAACGCAGGCUGGUCUUGAAAUACUGUACAGGUUUUUAAAUUUUUUUUGCAAUAUUCCAGGUGUCCAUUGCAGUUUCUUGUAAGAAUUUUUCAUUCAUAUUUUUUUAUGAUUUUAUCUACAGUGGUAAUAGUUCAUUCAUUUACUCUUCGAUCCAAAUGCAUGGGUACAGGGUAUUUAAUUUUUUUACUCUUGAAAUGCAGAAACAGUUAAAAUGUACAUAUGAUCAGAAAGCCCAUAUUUCAUUAACUUGUAGUAUUUAAUUUAACGCAGCAUUUGAACGAGAUCUCUAUUACAGGUGUGAAAGAUAAGAAAUAAAUACAACGUCGUUUUCUUGAUUUA